rnacentral:rRNA from 1 species
GGGCCCGCACAAGCGGUGGAGCAUGUGGUUUAAUUCGAUGCAACGCGAAGAACCUUACCUACUCUUGACAUCCAGAGAACUUUCCAGAGAUGGAUUGGUGCCUUCGGGAACUCUGAGACAGGUGCUGCAUGGCUGUCGUCAGCUCGUGUUGUGAAAUGUUGGGUUAAGUCCCGCAACGAGCGCAACCCUUAUCCUUGUUUGCCAGCGAGUAAUGUCGGGAACUCCAGGGAGACUGCCGGUGAUAAACCGGAGGAAGGUGGGGACGACGUCAAGUCAUCAUGGCCCUUACGAGUAGGGCUACACACGUGCUACAAUGGCGCAUACAGAGGGCGGCCAACUUGCGAGAGUGAGCGAAUCCCAAAAAGUGCGUCGUAGUCCGGAUCGGAGUCUGCAACUCGACUCCGUGAAGUCGGAAUCGCUAG